rnacentral:tRNA from 1 species
GGGCGCGUAGUUCAGUGGUAGAACGCUACAUUGACAUUGUAGAGAUCAGAGGUUCGAUCCCUCUCGCGCCCA